rnacentral:rRNA from 1 species
AUUGAACGCUGGCGGCAUGCUUUACACAUGCAAGUCGAACGGUAACAGGGUGCUUGCACCGCUGACGAGUGGCGAACGGGUGAGUAAUGCGUCGGAACGUGCCGAGUAGUGGGGGAUAACGCAGCGAAAGUUGUGCUAAUACCGCAUACGUACUGAGGUAGAAAGUGGGGGACCUUCGGGCCUCACGCUAUUCGAGCGGCCGACGUCUGAUUAGCUAGUAGGUGAGGUAAAGGCUCACCUAGGCGACGAUCAGUAGCGGGUCUGAGAGGAUGAGCCGCCACACUGGGACUGAGACACGGCCCAGACUCCUACGGGAGGCAGCAGUGGGGAAUUUUGGACAAUGGGCGAAAGCAUGAUCCAGCCAUGCCGCGUGUCUGAAGAAGGCCUUCGGGUUGUAAAGGACUUUUGUUAGGGAGGAAAUCCCUAGUGCUAAUAACACUGGGGGAUGACAGUACCUGAAGAAUAAGCACCGGCUAACUACGUGCCAGCCGCCGCCGUAA